rnacentral:rRNA from 1 species
AUUGAACGCUAGCGGGAUGCUUUACACAUGCAAGUCGAACGAGAGGCGGACGGGUGAGUAAUAUAUCGGAACGUGCCCAGUAGCGGGGGAUAACUACUCGAAACAGUGGCUAAUACCGCAUCCACUUGGAGCGGCCGAUAUCGGAUUAGCUAGUGGGUGGGGUAAAGGCGCACAAAGGCCACGAUCCGUAGCUGGUUUGAGAGGACGACCAGCCACACUGGGACUGAGAAACGGCCCAGACUCCUACGGGAGGCAGCAGUGGGGAAGUUUGGACAAUGGGGGGAACCCUGAUCCAGCCAUCCCGCGUGUAUGAGAAGGCCUUCGGGUUGUAAAGUACUUUUGGCAGAGAAGCGGUAUCUGCAGAAUAAGCACCGGCUAACUACGUGCCAGCAGCCGCGGUAAUAC